GACGAACGCUGGCGGCGUGCUUAACACAUGCAAGUCGAACGGAAAGGCCCUGCUUUUGUGGGGUGCUCGAGUGGCGAACGGGUGAGUAACACGUGAGUAACCUGCCCUUGACUUUGGGAUAACUUCAGGAAACUGGGGCUAAUACCGGAUAGGAGCUCCUGCUGCAUGGUGGGGGUUGGAAAGUUUCGGCGGUUGGGGAUGGACUCGCGGCUUAUCAGCUUGUUGGUGGGGUAGUGGCUUACCAAGGCUUUGACGGGUAGCCGGCCUGAGAGGGUGACCGGCCACAUUGGGACUGAGAUACGGCCCAGCCUCCUACGGGAGGCAGCAGUGGGGAAUAUUGCACUAUGGGCGGAAGCCUGAUGCAGCAACGCCGCGUGCGGGAUGACGGCCUUCGGGUUGUAAACCGCUUUCGCCUGUGACGAAGCGUGAGUGACGGUAAUGGGUAAAGAAGCACCGGCUAACUACGUG
rnacentral:rRNA from 1 species